GCGGGAACUCGGGGCGCGGGCGCGCUGACGUCCUGGCCGCCCUUCCUGACCUCCGUGGCCGUGCAUUUCCUAGCUUUGUCCACUGAAAAAGGCCAGAAGCAAUGACAACCCAGAACAAUUUCUAAAUAUUAUUCUCCACUAUAAAGAAUCAGAACUCCUUAAAGAAAUGGCUGAAACCAGCUCUGGGGCAGAGAAAGCACAAGGGAGAAGACAGCUGUCAUGUCCUGAGCCAGCUCCAUGGAGAGGCCCACCUGGCAAGAGUCCAGCAACCAUAUAAAUGCGCUUGGAAGUGGAUCUCACUUCAGUUGAAUCUUCAGAUGAAACUGCAGCCCCGGCUGACAGCUUGCCUGCAAUCCCACAAGAGACCUUGAGCCAGAGGUAUUCAGCUAAGCCAUGAUUCUUAACUUAGAAACAGUGAGAUAAUAAAUGUUUGCUGUUUUAAGCCACUAAGUUUUGGAGCAAUUUGUUACACAGUGGGCUACAAUGUAAGGUGAUUAGGAGGCUCCUAUGUAUUGAGUAUCCAGAAUUGUUUUUAUCUGUAGGUAUUUUUCCUGAGGCCAUUCAAUUUCUUUGAAGAAGAACUCUCCAAUCUCCCAGAGAAUAUAUGCCUGGCUGCCUGAGUUCAGGGGCCAGAGCUG